ensembl:lncRNA FAM86B3P family with sequence similarity 86, member A pseudogene
CGCCCACAUCAUGACGCCCGAGGAGAACGCGGGUACCAAACUCUUGCUGCAGGGUUUUGAGAGCCGCUUCCUAGUGGCGCGCACACUGCGCUCCUUCCCCUGGCAGAGCUUAGAGGCAAAGUUAAGAGACUCAUCAGAUUCUGAGCUGCUGCAGGAUAUUUUGCAGAAGACUGUGAGGCAUCCUGUGUGUGUGAAGCACCCGCCGUCAGUCAAGUAUGCCUGGUGCUUUCUCUCAGAACUCAUCAAAAAGCACGAGGCUGUCCACACGGAGCCUUUGGAUGAGCUGUACGAGGCGCUGGCGGAGACCCUGAUGGCCAAGGAGUCCCCCCAGGGCCACCGGAGCUAUUUGUUGCCCUCGGGAGGCUCGGUCACACUCUCCGAAAGCAUGGCCAUCAUCUCCCACAGCACCACGGGUCUGGUCACAUGGGAUGCCGCCCUCUACAUUGCAGAAUGGGCCAUCGAGAACCCGGCAGCCUUCACUCACAGGUCUGUCUUAGAGCUUGGCAGUGGUGCCAGCCUCACAGGCCUGGCCAUCUGCAAGAUAUGCCGCCCCCGGGCAUACAUCUUCAGCGACUGUCACAGCCGAGUCCUCGAGCAGCUCCAAGGAAAUGUCCUUCUCAAUGGCCUCUCAUUAGAGGCAGACAUCACUGCCAACUUAGACAGCCCUAGGGUGACAAUGGCCCAGCGCUGGACUGGGACGUAGUGACGGUCCAUCAGCGCUCUGCCUUCCAGCUAGAUGUUGUCAUUGCAGCAGAUGUGCUGUAUUGCCCAGAAGCCAUUGUGUCACUGGUCAGGGUCCUGCGGAGGCUGGCUGCCUGCCGGGAGCACCAGCGGGCUUCUGAGGUCUACGUGGCCUUCGCUGUCCGCAAUUGAGAGACGUGCCAGCUGUUCACCACCGAGCUAGGUUUUUGCUUGUCUGAUGACUGAUGGCUCCACCCAGACCUGCCAACCACUCCCGCGGCCCCAUCCAGAAGUGGCUCAGCGUGCAUGAGGACCAUCUCCAACAUCCCUGUGAUUGUACCCCCAACCAACCAGCAGCAAGAACCUAUUGCCUAGUCACCUCCCCUCUCUUUCCCCAACUAUCAUUGAAAAAGUCUGGCUUCCAAAUUUUCCGGGAGACUGAUUUGGGCCCAGCCCCAGGGCGCAAGGCCGCUUGCAUCAGCAGCGUGCGUGAGCAGAUGCGCCAGCAAGAUAGCAAAAGCAGGAAGAGAGCCAGCCGGAAGACAAGUACCUCUGAAGAUGGAGAAAGAGGCCAUCUGGGUACAACGUUGCAGUUACGUCAGACCAGGACACUUCCUGUUUACAGGAGACUAUAAAACCUUUGCCCCAUCCUCACUUGGGGCUGACGCCGUUUUAGGCCUCAGCCCGCCAGCACCCAGGCUCUCAUUAAAACAGCAUGUUGCUCCACA